rnacentral:rRNA from 1 species
AGAUUGAACGCUGGCGGCAGGCCUAACACAUGCAAGUCGAGCGGUAGAGAGGUGCUUGCAUCUCUUGAGAGCGGCGGACGGGUGAGUAAUGCCUAGGAAUCUGCCUAGUGGUGGGGAUAACGUUCGGAAACGGACGCUAAUACCGCAUACGUCCUACGGGAGAAAGCGGGGGACCUUCGGGCCUCGCGCCAUUAGAUGAGCCUAGGUCGGAUUAGCUAGUUGGUGAGGUAAUGGCUCACCAAGGCGACGAUCCGUAACUGGUCUGAGAGGAUGAUCAGUCACACUGGAACUGAGACACGGUCCAGACUCCUACGGGAGCAGCAGUGGGGAAUAGUUGGACAAGUGGGACGAAAGCCUGAUCCAGCCAUCGCCGCGUGUGAAAG